rnacentral:sRNA from 1 species
GACCUAACCCCUGCGAUCUAAAAGUCCCAGGAUAUGGUCCAAAAACCCCGCUAGAGAACAAAGGACUCCUCGUCAGAGUCACUCUAGCGGGUCAUACCUGGAAACGGGGAUGGGUGGAGCCGAAAGGUUCCAUC